ACAAGUCGAGGAACUAAAAUAAAACACUUUACCAAAACAAUAAUUAAAGGGAAAAAAGUUUGUCUUCCAAAUGGGUUGUUACUGUUUCCAUUUCCACUUGCAAAGCUUUGUAAACCGCAUCAACACCAAUGAGAAGCUUCCAUGGAUGUUCUCUCUGUGAAGCAAGCAAGAAGAAGCACAUGUUGGUUUUUGGGCUUGCCGGCGGCCGGUAUGGUGGAAAUUUGGCUCUCCGCCAUCCUAGAAGUGAGAACACAAGAUUGAGAACUUUUUUAUGAUGGCCUUUGAAAAUCCUUUCCUGUGAUUGGAUAAAACGUUUGAAAUCUUGAAAUGUUCAGCAGUCGCUCAGUUUGUAUACUCCUAUGUGCUUAACCAUUCUUGCAGGGUGUAUGUAUUUUUCUUUGAAAAGGUUAAAUGGAUCACCUUGUUGUUCAAUAAAGAGUACAGUUUGUUUUAUCUUUCAUUGGAAUUUGCAGGGUGUAUGUAGUUUUUGGAAGAGUCCUCUUAAUUGAGGGUUCUGCAAUUUAGUUCAAGGUUAUCAAUUUUUGUUUAA